GCCUGCGGUGUGGUGGGGGGUGAGGAAGAUGGAGGACCCGUCUUCCUGCUCUACUUUCUCUUCGUGCUCGUCUCCUCCAUGUCUUCACAACGGUGAUGGAAGGGGGACUGGGAACCCCCUCGGACACAGAGGCCUCACAGUUGUACAGACUUUGGCAGAAAUAUUACAAACUUCACGAGGAGUUCAGUUGGAAGGGAAGCUUCCUCCAAAUGGACAAGCCCAGGAAGAUCACCUCUGUCACCCCAGUGGCCAAGCCCCAGAGGCAGAGCUGCCUCGCCAACUGUAGACAUACAAGGGGCCCACCAGAAACCAGCAGGGCCCUGCCUAAAUGCUCAUCUCCCAGUGAGCCAAAGAAGUACGUGUUGCAGACCACCGAAUCUUCAGGGCCUGUUAUGCAGCCACAGAUCACUGACACAGCAGGUUCCAGGCAGAUACUGAUGACGGUCAUUAUACGUGGUGAGAAUUAACGAGAUAAUGCAUGUAACGCAUUAGUAUGUGGCACAUGAGAAAUCCUCAAUAAAUGUUAGCUGUUACUCUCCGCCCCCUUACCGUCCUAUUUCACAGAUGAGAAAACUGACGUUCGAAACCAUUUAGGAAGUUUGCCGAUGAACACGUGAGCCUGUUUUCCAACACGGGUCUGGUUCCCAAGCUGUGCACUUUUCCCUCUAAGAAAAUGUUUCUGUUUCCUCUGUCCUCAUGUUGUCGGGAUACGUAAUGCUGCACUAAUUUACCAGAACUGAAAUAGUGAUGCAUGGCAAAUGGUUCUCACUCUUCCCCUUUUC
rnacentral:lncRNA from 1 species